GCACUUACCUGGCGUAGAGAUAACCAUGAUCUACAAGGCGGUUUCUCCAAGGUGAGAUUCGUCCAUUGCACUACGGACGGGUUGACCCUUGCAAAUAUCCCUAAUACGGAUAUCUUAGACGUAUUUGUUUUGGUAGUUAUGCAUUUACUUUGAGAAUAGCCAUAG